AGAACUAAAUCUACUGCAAAAAGGUUCCUUGGAGUCUCAGAAAAACCCAGUGAAUCCAGUCUCAAGUGAACCCAGUGAUGGACCUGAUGGGACAGCAAUGGUGUCACUGGGGGAUUGCAAGAGGAUCAGCAACUUUCUAGGGAGACUAUAACAGAUGGGAAAGACCUAGACCAUCUUCUUAUUUCACUGGGCUAUAUUAAGCAGAGACGAGGGGAGUGAAAAAAGAAUACAACCAUAAAAAAGGAUGAGUUCAUGUCUUUCG
rnacentral:lncRNA from 10 species